UUUGGGAUAUGAUGCAACUAUAUAAUCAUCAAAGGCGACAGCAAUGCUGAAUUGGCUAUUUGCACGUCAGUCUGAUCCCAAC